UCUCGAAUAGCGUUGUGACUGA
rnacentral:miRNA from 6 species